CCUACGGGAGGCAGCAGUGGGGAAUUUUGGACAAUGGGCGCAAGCCUGAUCCAGCAAUGCCGCGUGAGUGAAGAAGGCCUUCGGGUUGUAAAGCUCUUUUGUCAGGGAAGAAACGGUCUACUCUAAUACAGUGGGCUAAUGACGGUACCUGAAGAAUAAGCACCGGCUAACUACGUGCCAGCAGCCGCGGUAAUACGUAGGGUGCAAGCGUUAAUCGGAAUUACUGGGCGUAAAGCGUGCGCAGGCGGUUAUAUAAGUCAGAUGUGAAAUCCCCGGGCUCAACCUGGGAACUGCAUUUGAGACUGUAUGGCUAGAGUGUGUCAGAGGGGGGUAGAAUUCCACGUGUAGCAGUGAAAUGCGUAGAUAUGUGGAGGAAUACCGAUGGCGAAGGCAGCCCCCUGGGAUAACACUGACGCUCAUGCACGAAGACGUGGGAGGACGAACAAGAGUAGUAUACCGUACGUAGUACCGACCGACCCGUAACCGAACUAGUCUACUACGUU
rnacentral:rRNA from 1 species